ensembl:lncRNA
CCUCACUGGAAGCCCUCAUGGACAGCCCUUGCCCUGGGCAUACAGCUGCUCACCUUCCUAAGUGCCUCUCUCCAUACUGAGAAAUAUGGAUGUCUGUGCUUCUUAGUCCCAACAUCUUCUAAACUCAAGGAGGGACUUCCAUGCUUGACAAAACCAUGGCUCAGGACAACUUCUUUCUUAAUAUUCACAGCCAUACAAUGCACAUCCCCUUAUCCUCAGUACUGCAUGCAUGCAUCAGAAGCUCUUCACCUUCCUUCUGUAGGAAGAAUCAGAAAAAAUGUAUGCUGAAGGCUGAAUGCAAAUUAUUUGGAAAUAUACAAAUGAAAUUGCUGCAAAGACAUUCUGUUUCCUAUGAAGCUGUGCAGGUCGUAGCAGACUAUGAAACUGAGACCAGGAUAGAAAAUUUGCAAGGUGUUUAUUAGCAGAAAAAAAGAAGCUAGGGGAGGUUGCUUUCAAUUCACACAAUUACUUCUGCUUUGCUUCAGACUAUCUGCCUUCUAAAACCCAUAGUGAACAAUUUCAGUGUGCCCAGACUGGAUUCCUUUCAACUCAAGCCACGCCUAAGAUUAUGGUUUGGGAGCCCACCUAUUGUACUCCAACCACCAGUUGGCAUUUGUGAACUAACAACAGUUUGAAGGAAGCAUGCCCUGCACUCACAGAGGACCUCCAGCUCAGUGGUCUAAAGAGUUACUUACUAAAUGGAAACUUCAUUCUUUCUGUUCCACACACCAGCAAAUCAGGUAAGAAGAAAACAGUCUCUUUAAGCAUGUACUUAAAUUCUUUGAUGGAUCAGGACCAUUAUAGGGGUUCUUGAUCUUCAGCAGAAAAUUAUUGCAUAAGGGAAAGGUUGAGGGAAUUGGGCUUGUUUAGCUUGGAGAAUGCUCUGGGGAGAUCUCAUUGUGGCCUUCCAGUACUUGAAGGGAAUGCAUAAACAGGUGGGGUAAUGAGAGUUUACAUGGGUUGACAGUGAUAGGACAAGGGGGGAUGGUUUUAAACUAAGACAAAGGAGAUACUAUAUCCAAAGAGGUUGUAGAUGCCCCAUCCCUGGAGGCAUUCAAGGUCAGGCUGGAUAUAACUCUGGGCAGCCUGGUCUAGUGAUUGGCAAUGUUGCCCAUGACAGGGGGCUAGAAACUACGUGAUCUUUGAGGUCCUUUUCAACCCAGGUGAUUCUAUGAUUCUAUGAUCUUGAGAGAGGUUGGAGGCAAAUGGAUGAGGCCAGACACUUCUUGAUGGUGUGUACCGUGAGCACAAGGAGUAAUGUUCUAAAACAUGUAAAUAGGAAAUUCUGCGCUAACACGCAGAAGAACUUUAUGGUAACGGUGAUGGAGCACUGGAACAGGUUGCCCAGAGAGGAUGUGGAGUCUCCUCCUACAGAGAUAUCCAAGACAUAUCUGGACAGCUAGCUGUGCGACCUGUCACAGGGUCCCUGCUUUAGCAGAGGAACUGAAUUCAGUGCAGUCUUGAGGUCAUUUCCAGCCCCUGUGUUACUCAGUUACUGAGUGCCUUCUCUGUCUAUACUGCUGGAGGCUGUCCUGAGGAGCCCUGUACCCCUGAGGUCCCAGAGGAAGUCAGGAUCAAGGAGGAGUUUGCCUCAGUUGUUGAGGACUGGGUUAAGGAGCAAUUAAACAACCUAGACAUCCAUAAAUCCAUGGGUCCUGAUGCGAUGCACCUGUGGGUGCUGAGGGAGCUGGCAGAAGUCAUUGCUAGGCCACUCUCCGUUAUCUUUGGUAAGUUGUGGGGAGCAAGAUACUCCAGACUGAUCAGCCUCACCUCCAUCCCUGGAAAGGUGAUGGAAAAACUUAUCCUUGGCACUGCCUCUAGGCAUAUCACGGAUAAGAGGGUCAUUAGGGGCAGUCAGCAUGGCUUCACCAAGGGGAAGUCAUGCUUGACCAACUUGAUAGCUUUUUAUGAAGAGGUAACCAGGUGGGUAGAUG